AGCCUUUCAGCCAUGGAGCUCUCCAAAGCUCUUUCUAACACACAUGGAGCUUCUGAAAAUGUUGAGAAGUCACCUUUGCUUUCUGCUCAAGCUGAAGAGCAAGAUGCAAGUGCUACAGCUCCCAAGGAACCUGUAAGAUCCUUCAGCUCUGAUACAAGAAAUUUCAUCAUUAAAUGGAAUCCUUUUUUUUUAAAUAAUUAAAUAAAUAUUUUUGUUAUGUCACAGCAUUUUCAACAGUUACCUAAUGGUGCUAAGGGUAGCCCUCCAAUAUCUCCAAGGGAGAGUGAAGAAAUGAAGGUAUUUUCAGUUUCCUUCUCUGUUUUCACCGGCUAGACAGCCAAUAUGCCCCUAUCUGCAACUUUUCAAAGGAACUCAAGCCUGUAUCUAUUAGAAUCAAGCAUUCAAUAGAAAAGAACUGUUUAACAAGACAUUGCUUCUAAUGACCAUAUAAUCUAUGCAGGAAUUAAUUUUACUUCAUCAAGCACUCAACCCAGAAUUCCUUUCAAGUCAACAGCUGCUCAGAACUGGGGUAUCUC
rnacentral:lncRNA from 1 species